rnacentral:lncRNA from 7 species
UUGCUCAUCCCGUCAUCCGGUGCCAUUUGCCACGCGUAUGCCAAGUUGCCAACCUGAGCCCCUGACGCCUGACGGGUUCAAGUCUGAAGCCAUCGAGUCUGAAAUCUUAUUACUACUUGUGAGUCACGACUCACGAGAUCAAGUGAGGCCAUGCUGAGCUCACAAGAUCAAGUGAGGCCAUGCAAUGCAUCGCUCCAGCCACGAGUACGUGCAAAAGAAAAAUAAAGGGCCCAUAUCCGCUCCGGCUUUUGUAUCGGCCAGCCAUGCAACGCAAUCAUCAAAGCCAAGAUCAAGUGAGGCCAUUGCUGACCUACGUAGCCGGACGCCGGACGGCCGGACCGAGGAGAGACGACGACAAGAGGUAGCCACUAGCCAGGCGGGGAGCAGCCAGAGGAGUCGAAGAGACAGAUGGAAUGUUGCGGCGGCCGACAGCUAGGGUAAAAGUGGAGAGCAAUAGGAUGGAUUCUGGAGGAGUAUUUCAUGGGCCAUCUUGGGCUAUUGGCUGGGCUGCAAGCUACUGU